UAAGCGGAGGAAAAGNAACUAACANGGAUUCCCCUAGUAACUGCGAGUGAAGCGGGAAAAGCUCAAAUUUAAAAUCUGGUGGCCUUUGGUCAUCCGAGUUGUAAUUUAGAGAAGCGUCUUCCGCGCUGGACCAUGCACAAGUCUCCUGGAAUGGAGCGUCAUAGAGGGUGAGAAUCCCGUCUUUGGCAUGGAUGCACCAGGGCUUCUGUGAUGCGCUCUCGAAGAGUCGAGUUGUUUGGGAAUGCAGCUCAAAAUGGGUGGUGAACUCCAUCUAAAGCUAAAUAUUGGCGAGAGACCGAUAGCGAACAAGUACCGUGAGGGAAAGAUGAAAAGCACUUUGGAAAGAGAGUGAAACAGUACGUGAAAUUGUUGAAAGGGAAACGCUUGAAGUCAGUCACGUCGACCGAGACUCAGCCUCGCCUUGGCUUGGUGUACUUCUCGGGCGACGGGUCAGCAUCAAUUUUGCCCCUCGGAUAAUGACAAGGGAAAGGUAGCACCUUUAUGGGUGUGUUAUAGUCUCCUGUCGCAUGCGAGGGUUGGGAUUGAGGAACUCAGCACGCGCCUUCUGGCGUUGGGGCUUCGGCCUACGUACGUGCUUAGGAUGCUGGCAUAAUGGCUUUAAACGACC
rnacentral:rRNA from 1 species